UACGGGGGGGGCAAGCGUUGUUCGGAAUUACUGGGCGUAAAGGGCUCGUAGGCGGCCAACUAAGUCAGACGUGAAAUCCCUCGGCUUAACCGGGGAACUGCGUCUGAUACUGGAUGGCUUGAGUUUGGGAGAGGGAUGCGGAAUUCCAGGUGUAGCGGUGAAAUGCGUAGAGAUGUGGAGGAACACCGAUGGCGAAGGCAGCCCCCUGGGUCAAGAUUGACGCUCAUGCACGAAAGCGUGGGGAGCAAACAGG
rnacentral:rRNA from 1 species